rnacentral:pre_miRNA from 1 species
CGCCCACUUUGGGUUUCAGAGAUCAACGCCCAUAUAUGCCGCAUGUCAGCCUCCUGUAUGGGGAUCUGACAGACGAGGAGAAGGAAG